CAAAAAUACGCUCCCUCUUCUAUCCCCAUAGAAAAUCACGCCCCUUCUCUCAUUCUCCUCCUGUCUCUCUCCCCCUCUCAGGCCUAACCAUCCAUUCUCAGUUUCUCACCUUGCUUGUUGCUGCCGCCACUUCUUCUCUUUCUUGUUCUUCUGUUCUCGUUCUUUUCUUAAUCCCUUUCAUUGUUGAUUUUUCUUCUUCGCACUUAAGAAGACUAUCAUUUAGGUUUUGGAAUACGUCACAGUGUCGCUGCUUUGGAGCCUGGAGGCAGUGGCGAAAGCAAGUGAGCAACAUCGUGUCAUGAGGAUUCAAGGAAGGCUGGCAUCUCUGUGUCCCCUUUCCAAAAGCUAUGGGUUUUGUUAUACAUAUUUAUAGAAGUAUAUUGAUAUAUAGCAUAAUUAUAGAGUAAAUUGUAUUAAUCAUUGUAAAUAUUUAGUUUUUUCAUUAAUUUUUAUUUCCAUUUCAUAAUUUAAUUAAGUUAAAAGUUAGUUUCUUUUGUUUAAAUUGAAGUUUGUUCCUUUUGCAAAAUUUGAUAAAGAAAUGAAGAUUG
rnacentral:misc_RNA from 1 species